UACGGGGGGGGCAAGCGUUGUUCGGAAUUACUGGGCGUAAAGGGCUCGUAGGUGGCCAACUAAGUCAGACGUGAAAUCCCUCGGCUUAACCGGGGAACUGCGUCUGAUACUGGAUGGCUUGAGAUUGGGAGAGGGACGCGGAAUUCCAGGUGUAGCGGUGAAAUGCGUAGAUAUCUGGAGGAACACCGGUGGCGAAGGCGGGUCUCUGGGCCGAUACUGACGCUGAGGAGCGAAAGCGUGGGAGCGAACAGG
rnacentral:rRNA from 1 species